GUGCAUUUCAAAUAGUCUUUCAUUAAAUAUUGAUAAAUGCCAAAUUGUUACCUACUCCAAAAAGCACAAUCCCUUACAUUUUAAUUAUCAUAUAUGUGACAUUAACCUACAUCGUUCGUCAUUAUUUAAAGAUUUAGGGAUUUUAUUUGAUUCCAAACUAUUAUUCAAUGAUCAUGUAUCAGCGAUUAAAAAUAAAGCUUUAUCUGUAUUUGGUAUGAUAAAAAGAAAC